rnacentral:rRNA from 1 species
UGCGUAGGUUGAUUGGUAAGUCAGUGGUGAAAUACUCCGACUCAAUCGGAGAACUGCCGUUGAUACUAUCAAUCUUGAAUACGGUGGAGGCGGGCAGAAUGCGUCAUGUAGUGGUGAAAUACUUAGAUAUGACGCAGAAUACCCAUUGCGAAGGCAGCUCGCUACGCCGGCAUUGACACUGAGGCACGAAAGCGUGGGGAUCAAACA